CAACAGCCUGCAUUAAAUCAAUAUGAACAAAUGAAACAACAUCUCAUUAAUGUGAUUCACUCUAAGCAGACCGGGUGUUUCUCAACCUUUUUGAUACCAGGGACUGGCUUGCUGCCUUCCUAAACUGUGAUCUCCAGGACCAGCACCGGUCCACAGAUCGGUUGUUGAGAAAUACUGAUAUAUAGAGUACUAUAGUAUCAUACUAUUGUGGCAAUACCUCAAUAAAAUAUUCCAUGAACUAACUCUGGCAAUAACAUCUCAACAUUAUUUCCAUCCAGGCCAUUUGGUCUUUGAUAUGCACAGAAUUAUAGCAAUGUGCAUUUCUCAGGGCAACCCACAAAAGCACCAUCAACAUUUCUUUAAUGGUACUCAGUUAUAGUUUAUCCACGUAACUCCCUCCUUAGUGACAAGAUAAAUAUGUAAAGUAAAGGUGUUUAAGAAAUAGUUUGGCCUCAGCACAUUUCUCUGACCAUGCAGGGUUCAGAAUAAGUCAGGCGAGUCACAGGCCCCCACUUUGCCAUCAAAACAAAUGACUUGAACAACUCUGCUUGACUACAGUUUAAACUUGGUUGCAGCUGAAAUGUUUUCUAACAUUUGACUGGCCUAUGUUGACAAGGUCAAACUAUUUUCUAGCCUAGUUAAAAACCAGGGCUAUAACUCAUUUUUUAAAAUUGUCCUAAUAUGAUUUGGCCCCAGUUUUUAAAUUUUGUUUUGAUACUGUGAAAGUCUGGAGAGUUCACUGAGAGGCCUACAUACCCCAAAAUGAGACAGAAGCCAUCUGAAAAAAGCAAGGGAACAGAAAAAAAGGGUACCUCCUAUUAAGAAAAAAAGAUUAAACACUAGUACGGAUAAUUGGGGUGCAAAAGAGCCUAUGCGCUGUAAUCCCAGUACAAAGAUAGUACUUUUGAAGCCUUUUUAUACUCUCGUCCCCCAUUUCUUCAUUUCCACUACUCACUUACCCCACUCAUAUGCCACACCACCACUGGUUGUUAGGCCUGUUCCCAAAUAUCAACUCAUUUUUGCUGACCAAGAGAGUUUCCUCCUCUUAAUAAGAAUGGUACUAGAUACAGGGGAUGCUUGAGGAUACAGGGGUAAACCAGAUUAGAUCCAAGAUUACUUUUUUUCGCCUAGAAAUGUGUAUGGAGAGCUAGGUGGGUCUGUAUACACACUGAAGGGCACACUGCACUGGGCCCAGGCACUCUGUGUCUAAUGAUGUAAGGAGACCACAUUUUAGGAAUUGCUCUCAACCAGGGAAAAUGUAACUAAAUGGACAUAGUUCCUAAAGUACUCUCUUGAAAUGGAUCUGGCAAAACUUUUCAGUCUUCUGAAUAAAAUACAGACUGAACUCAGACUCACUUUAUUCCUAAGGUAUUUGGAAGGACUUUUCAUGUCAGCAUUCAGGUGAGAGAUGUGAAUGAGCUUUUCUACUCCAGCUUCCCUGGUUUCCUGGGCAA